AUGCGCCCAUGCCGGACGCCUCUCCUCGACUCCACCUCGCCGCUGUCCGUGCUCCUACUCGACCACCUCCACCGCAAUCGCCCCUCCCCUCCCCCCUCAGCCUCGCCGCCGUCAGCCAUCUGGUCUCCCAUCGCCGCAUUCGCCGCUGCCACGAAGCGCGCCCGAGCCGGGACGCUCAGCCCUGAGGACGCACACCACCUGUUCGACGAAUUGCUACGCCAGUCCAUCCCGGUCCCCAACCGCUUCCUGAACGGCUUCCUUGCCGCCCUCGCCCGUGCCCCAGUCUCCGAAGCCUGCGGAGAUGGCCCCGCCCUCACCGUCGCCCUCUUCAACCGCCUCUGCCGAGAAGAAGCCGGCCCUUGUGUAGAGCCGCCCACUUACUAUACCUACAGCAUUCUAAUGGACAGCUGCUGCCGCGUGGGUCGCCCCGACCUUGGGCUUGCUUUCUUCGGCCGCCUACUCAAGUCAGGCCUCAAGGCAGACCAGAUCACCGCCAGCAGCCUCCUCAUGUGCCUCUGCGAUGCAGGACGGACAAACGAGGCUGUGGACGUGCUGCUUCAUAGGAUCUCCGAGCUCGGCUGUGAGCCUAAUGUCAUCCCAUACAACAUAGUUCUUAAGAGCUUAUGUGACAGUAGCAGGAGCCAGCGAGCUCUUGACCUGCUCCAGAUGAUGGCACAAAGAGCUUGCUGCUCCCCUAAUGUGGUGUCAUAUAACACCGUCAUUCAGGGCUUAUUUAAGGAAGGCCAAGUCGGGGCAAGGGACAAGGCAAAGCUGGUCCUUCGGCAUAUGGUUGGUAAUAGUGUUCGACCAGAUAUGUAUACUUGGAACUCAUUCAUGGGAUCUCUUCGCAAGCAGGGAAGAAGCAAGGAAGCUACACAACUUUUUGAUUACAUGGCCGCCAAGGGCCACAAACCUGAUGUUGUCAUGUACUCUACUCUGCUUCAUGGGUAUGCUACUGAAGGAUGCUUCACUGAUAUGAUUAAUCGCUUUAAUUCAAUGGAAGGCAACGGUAUUGUAGCUAACAGCCGUGUUUUUAACAUACUAAUCGACGCAUAUGCUAAACGUGGAAUGAUGCAUGAAGCUAUGCUCAUAUUUACUGAAAUGCGGGAACAAAGAGUGAGUCCUGAUACAUUCACCUAUGGAAUUAUAAUAGCUGCACUUUGCAGAAUGGGUAGGCUAUCUGAUGCUAUGGAGAAAUUAAAUGAAAUGGUUGCUACAGGAUUACAGCCGGACGAGGCUGUUUACUAUUCCCUAAUUCAGGGUUUUUGUACACAUGAUGAUUUGGUCAAAGCUAAGGAGUUGGUUUCUGAGAUGAUGACCAAAGGUAUUCCUCGUCCUAACAUUGUGUUCUUCAACUCGGUAAUAGCCAGGCUGUGCAAAGAAGGAAGGGUUAAGGAUGCACACGGUAUCUUUGACUUGGCUAUGAACAUUGGUGAGAGGCCCAACGUUAUUACAUUUAAUUCACUGAUUCACGGCUAUAGCUUGGUUGGCAAGAUGGCGAAAGCUUUCGGGGUACUUGAUGACAUGGAAUCAGUUGGCAUUGAGCCCGAUGUUGUUACUUAUACUACACUUCGUCAUGGCUAUUCUAGAAAUAGAAGAACUGCUUCUGCGAAGAAAAUGUUCCAUGAGAUGAUCGGAAGUGGAACCAUGGAGAAGAAAGAAGCUAACAAUCUGGUUGCUGCAAUAUCAGCCAAUGGGUUGGUACCUAAUGCUUCUACUUAUGGAGUUAUAAUAAGACAUGUUCUAAAAGAAGGAUUAGUGGAUGAAGCUGACAAUAUGUUUUCAUCAAUGGACAAUACUAGUAGUUGUGCUCCUAGCUCUCAUUUGUUAAAUGAUAUCUCAUUAUUUUAUCGGAAAAAGGAUGAGCAGAAAAGAUUUUCAUCAUAUUUGCUCUAUGACUGGAUGCAUCUGAAAGGAAAUAGUGGACGUAGGCCUGCACAGUUCCUUCCGAUGUUUGAAUACUCCUUCAACUAA
rnacentral:rRNA from 1 species